UUGUGCCUACGGGAGGCAGCAGUGAGGAAUAUUGGUCAAUGGGCGCGAGCCUGAACCAGCCAAGUCGCGUGAGGGAUGACGGCCCUACGGGUUGUAAACCUCUUUUGCCGGGGAGCAACGGGCGCCACGUGUGGCGCCACUGAGAGUAUCCGGAGAAAAAGCAUCGGCUAACUCCGUGACAGCAGCCGCGGUAAUACGGAGGAUACGAGCGUUAUCCGGAUUUAUUGGGUUUAAAGGGUGCGUAGGCGGUCCGUUAAGUCAGCGG
rnacentral:rRNA from 1 species